rnacentral:rRNA from 1 species
GAUGAACGCUGGCGGCGUGCCUAAUACAUGCAAGUCGAGCGAACAGACGAGGAGCUUGCUCCUCUGACGUUAGCGGCGGACGGGUGAGUAACACGUGGAUAACCUACCUAUAAGACUGGGAUAACUUCGGGAAACCGGAGCUAAUACCGGAUAAUAUAUUGAACCGCAUUGUUCAAUAGUGAAAGACGGUUUUGCUGUCACUUAUAGAUGGAUCCGCGCCGCAUUAGCUAGUUGGUAAGGUAACGGCUUACCAAGGCAACGAUGCGUAGCCGACCUGAGAGGGUGAUCGGCCACACUGGAACUGAGACACGGUCCAGACUCCUACAGGAGGCAGCAGUAGGGAAUCUUCCGCAAUGGGCGAAAGCCUGACGGAGCAACGCCGCGUGAGUGAUGAAGGUCUUAGGAUCGUAAAACUCUGUUAUUAGGGAAGAACAAAUGUGUAAGUAAAUAUGCACGUCUUGACGGUACCUAAUCAGAAAGCAACGGCUAACUACGUG